rnacentral:rRNA from 1 species
GUGCCAGCAGCCGCGGUAAUACGUAGGGGGGGAGCGUUGUCCGGAAUUACUGGGCGUAAAGGGCUCGUAGGUGGUCUGUCGCGUCGUCUGUGAAAUUCCGGGGCUUAACUCCGGGCGUGCAGCGAUACGGGCAUAACUUGAGUACUGUAGGGGUAACUGGAAUUCCUGGUGUAGCGGUGAAAUGCGCAGAUAUCAGGAGGAACACCGAUGGCGAAGGCAGGUUACUGGGCAGUUACUGACGCUGAGGAGCGAAAGCAUGGGUAGCGAACAGGAUUAGA